rnacentral:lncRNA from 1 species
UGUAGCAGUAAUUAUCCACUACAAUGGUAAUGAAAAGUUAAAUACCAUUUGUUAAAAUUCAAAAAAUAUUUUCAUUCUCCACUUUUUGAAAACUGUGAUAGGAUACUGGGGAUAGGCGAUUUUCAGUGAAAAUUUGAGGUUGUUAACCUAUGGAGGUAAGUAAUUAUAUUCUAGACUUGAAUUCACGUUGUUUAACCUUAUAAAAUUA